CAGCCGCCGCGGGAAUACGAAGGGUGCAAGCGUUAAUCGGAAUUACUGGGCGUAAAGCGUGCGUAGGCGGUUUGUUAAGUCUGCUGUGAAAUCCCCGGGCUCAACCUGGGAAUGGCAGUGGAUACUGGCAAGCUAGAGUGUGUCAGAGGAUGGUGGAAUUCCCGGUGUAGCGGUGAAAUGCGUAGAGAUCGGGAGGAAUACCGGUGGCGAAGGCGGCCCCCUGGACAAAGACUGACGCUCAGGUGCGAAAGCGUGGGGAGCAAACAGGAUUAGAUACCCCAGUAGUCCCUGUCUCUUAUAC
rnacentral:rRNA from 1 species